AUUGAACGCUGGCGGCAUGCUUUACACAUGCAAGUCGAACGGUAACAGGCCGCAAGGUUCUGACGAGUGGCGAACGGGUGAGUAAUGCAUCGGAACGUGCCCAGUCGUGGGGGGUAACUACUCGCAAGAGUAGCUAAUACCGCAUACGAUCUAUGGAUGAAAGCGGGGGACCGUAAGGCCUCGCGCGAUUGGAGCGGCCGAUGUCAGAUUAGGUAGUUGGUGGGGUAAAGGCUCACCAAGCCAACGAUCUGUAGCUGGUCUGAGAGGACGACCAGCCACACUGGGACUGGGACACGGCCCAGACUCCUACGGGAGGCAGCAGUGGGGAAUUUUGGACAAUGGGCGCAAGCCUGAUCCAGCAAUGCCGCGUGCAGGAAGAAGGCAUUCGGGUUGUAAACUGCUUUUGUACGGAACGAAACGGCUCUGGUUAAUACCCGGGGCUAAUGACGGUACCGGAAGAAUAAGCACCGGCUAACUACGUG
rnacentral:rRNA from 1 species